rnacentral:rRNA from 1 species
GACGAACGCUGGAGGCGUGCCUAAUACAUGCAAGUAGAACGCACAGUUUAUACCGUAGCUUGCUACACCAUAGACUGUGAGUUGCGAACGGGUGAGUAACGCGUAGGUAACCUGCCUGGUAGCGGGGGAUAACUAUUGGAAACGAUAGCUAAUACCGCAUAAUAUUGAUUAUUGCAUGAUAAUUGAUUGAAAGAUGCUAUUGCAUCACUACCAGAUGGACCUGCGUUGUAUUAGCUAGUAGGUGAGGUAACGGCUCACCUAGGCGACGAUACAUAGCCGACCUGAGAGGGUGAUCGGCCACACUGGGACUGAGACACGGCCCAGACUCCUACGGGAGGCAGCAGUAGGGAAUCUUCGGCAAUGGACGAAAGUCUGACCGAGCAACGCCGCGUGAGUGAAGAAGGUUUUCGGAUCGUAAAGCUCUGUUGUAAGAGAAGAACGGGUGUGAGAGUGGAAAGUUCACACUGUGACGGUAUCUUACCAGAAAGGGACGGCUAACUACGUG